rnacentral:rRNA from 1 species
CCUACGGGAGGCUGCAGUGAGGAAUAUUGGUCAAUGGACGCAAGCCAGAACCAGCCAAGCCGCGUGCAGGAAGACGGCUCUGUGAAUUGUAAACUUCUUUUGUACGAGGGUAAACGCGGAUACUCGUACCUGGAUGAGAGUACCUGACGAAAAAGCAUCGGCUAACUCCGUGCCAGCAGCCGCGGUAAUACGGAGGAUUCAAGCGUUAUCCGGAUUUAUUGGGUUUAAAGGGUGCGUAGGCGGGCGGAUAAGUUAGAGGUGAAAUCCCGAGGCUCAACUUCGGACGUGCCUCUGAUACUGUUCGGCUGGAGAGGAGUUGAAGUAGGCGGAAUGUGCGGUGUAGCGGUGAAAUGCUUAGAGAUCGUACAGAACCCCGAUUGCGAAGGCAGCUUACC